rnacentral:rRNA from 1 species
ACGGGAGGCAGCAGUGGGGGAUAUUGCACAAUGGGGGAAACCCUGAUGCAGCGACGCCGCGUGAGUGAAGAAGUAUUUCGGUAUGUAAAGCUCUAUCAGCAGGAAAGAUAAUGACGGUACCUGACUAAGGAGCACCGGCUAAAUACGUGCCAGCAGCCGCGGUAAUACGUAUGGUGCAAGCGUUGUCCGGAUUUACUGGGUGUAAAGGGAGCGCAGACGGCAUGGCAAGCCAGAUGUGAAAUGCGGGGGCUCAACUCCUGAACUGCAUUUGGAACUGUCAAGCUAGAGUAUCGGAGAGGUAAGUGGAAUUCCUAGUGUAGCGGUGAAAUGCGUAGAUAUUAGGAGGAACACCAGUGGCGAAGGCGGCUUACUGGACGAUAACUGACGUUGAGGCUCGAAAGCGUGGGGAGCAAACAGGAUUAGAUACCCUGGUA